UACGUAGGAUCCGAGCGUUGUCCGGAAUUACUGGGUGUAAAGGGCGUGUAGGUGGGCCUCUAAGUCGGUGGUGAAAUCCUGCAGCUUAACUGUAGAAUUGCCAUUGAUACUGGGGGUCUUGAGUGCAGCAGAGGGAGAUGGAAUUCAUGGUGUAGCGGUGAAAUGUGUAGAUAUCAUGAAGAACACCAGUCGCGAAGGCGGUCUCCUGGUCCGUUACUGACACUGAGGCGCGAAAGCGUGGGGAGCAAACAGG
rnacentral:rRNA from 1 species